rnacentral:rRNA from 2 species
GAAAAGAAACUAACAAGGAUUCCCCCAGUAGCGGCGAGCGAAGCGGGAAGAGCCCGGGAUGAAAAUCUCUUCGGAGAGUUGUAGUCUGAGCUCCCUUGGGCGGUCAGUGUGGGUAAAUCGUCUGGGAUGGCGUGCCAAGGAGGGUGAGAGCCCCGUCCACCCCACACAGGACCCGCCCGCACGAGGGCGCUUCAACCGAGUCGGGUAGCUUGGGAAUGCUGCUCCAAUUGGUGGUAAAUCUCAUCAAAGGCUAAAUAACGGUGGGAGACCGAUAGCGAACAAGUACCGUGAGGGAAAGAUGGAAAGAACUUUGAAAAGAGAGUGAAAAGCGCUUGAAACCGUCACGGGGGAAGCGGAUUGCGUGAGUGAUGGCGUGCACUGUUCAGCUCAAAAUGUGGAGUGUAUUCUGUGCGCGCCGGGCGUGUGUGGCUGGGGUGCGUGCGAAUUUGGCACGCGUUCCUGGUGAGGGCUCCCUGCCUGUCAGGUGAGGACACACGCGAAAUGACGCAAUACGACCCGUCUUGAAACACGGACCAAGGAGUCUAGCACGGCUGCGAGUCGAAGGGUGUGAAAACCCAUAGGGCGCAGUGAAAGCGAAAGAAAGCAAAUUGGGGAGGCGUUGCGGUUUUACCAAAAUGUCCUACCUCGAGCACCUGUGCUGGGACCCGAAAGAUGGUGAACUAUGCCGGAGUAGGGCAAAGCCAGAGGAAACUCUGGUGGAGGCUCGUAGCGAUGCUGACGUGCAAAUCGCUCGUCGAACUUGGGUAUAGGGGCGAAAGACUAAUCGAACCAUCUAGUAGCUGGUUCCCUCCGAAGUUUCUCUCAGGAUAGCGGGCCGACGACAUGUUGUUUUGUGCGGUAAAGCGAAUGAUUAGUGCAUUUGGGGGCCGAAGGCCUUCAGGCGAUUCUCAAACUUUAAAUGCGCAAGGGGGCGGCUGCUUAAUUGAGCCUGCUCUUUGAAAAACGUCGGCCCUGUGGGCCACUUUUGGUAAGCAGAACUGGCGAUAAGGGAUGAACCUUAAGCGCGGUUAAGGCGCCGCAUUGCCCGCUUAUAGACCCCACAAAAGGUGUUGAUUCAUCCAGACAGCAGGACGGUGGCCAUGGAAGUCGGAAUCCGCUAAGGAGUGUGUAACAACUCACCUGCCGAAUGAAUUAGCCCUGAAAAUGGAUGGCGCUGAAGCGGGCAGCCGACACCGCGCCGUUCGGGCGAGACGAAGCCCGGAUGAGUAGGAGGGCGUGGCGGUCAGUGACGCAGGCGUGGGUGCAGACCCCGCUGAAACGGCCGCUAGUGCAGAUCUUGGUGGUAGUAGCAAAUAUUCAAGCGAGAUCCUUGAAGGGCGAAGCGGGGAAGGGUUCCACGCGAACAUUGAUUGGGCGUGGGUGAGUC